GUUAAAGAAAGAAAAUAAAUCUGAGGAGUCAGCACCCUGCUGAAUUGUAGUAAACGAGACGUCCAAUCUACUAGACCAUCAAAGAUGCAGAUUUGGAUUUUCUAUUUCAUAGUUAUUGAAAUCAUAAUGAGAAUGAAGUACUGCCACUAAGGUAAAGGUGCUAACUUGCAAGGAGCUGUUCUCAAAACAUUGGGUGACAAAGAAUUCACUUUUACAAAAAUCGAGCAGGAUAUUAAAGACGGCGAACUAUAGAACAAAUAUGGCAAAGCUGCAUAAAGUCUAUGUUGAAUUUUAAUUCAGAUUUAAUGUUAGUUUUUAUUGUUUAACAGUAAUUGCAGUUUUUGAAUACCUGUAAAAUAAACCUAAUUCUUAAAUUAA